rnacentral:rRNA from 1 species
AUACGGAGGGGGCUAGCGUUGUUCGGAUUUACUGGGCGUAAAGGGCGCGUAGGCGGACCAUCAAGUCAGGGGUGAAAGGCCUGGGCUCAACCCGGGAACUGCCUUUGAAACUAAAGGUCUUGAGACCGAGAGAGGAUAGCGGAAUUCCCAGUGUAGAGGUGAAAUUCGUAGAUAUUGGGAAGAACACCAGUGGCGAAGGCGGCUAUCUGGCUCGGUACUGACGCUGAGGCGCGAAAGCGUGGGGAGCAAACAGGAUUAGAAACCCGAGUAGUCC